AUUGAACGCUGGCGGCAGGCCUAACACAUGCAAGUCGAACGGUAACAGGAAGAAGCUUGCUUCUUUGCUGACGAGUGGCGGACGGGUGAGUCAUGUCUGGGAAACUGCCUGAUGGAGGGGGAUAACUACUGGAAACGGUAGCUAAUACCGCAUAACGUCGCCAGACCAAAGAGGGGGACCUUCGGGCCUCUUGCCCUCGGAUGUGCCCAGAUGGGAUUAGCUAGUAGGUGGGGUAACGGCUCACCUAGGCGACGAUCCCUAGCUGGUCUGAGAGGAUGACCAGCCACACUGGAACUGAGACACGGUCCAGACUCCUACGGGAGGCAGCAGUGGGGAAUAUUGCACAAUGGGCGCAAGCCUGAUGCAGCCAUGCCGCGUGUAUGAAGAAGGCCUUCGGGUUGUAAAGUACUUUCAGCGGGGAGGAAGGGAGUAAAGUUAAUACCUUUGCUCAUUGACGUUACCCGCAGAAGAAGCACCGGCUAACUCCGUG
rnacentral:rRNA from 1 species